rnacentral:rRNA from 1 species
AGAAAUGGACGAAAGUCUGAUCUAGCAACACCGCGUGUGCGAAGAAGGCCUUUGGGUCAUAAAGCACUUUUUGGAAGGAAUAGGAAAACAUGAACUUCCAGAAUAAGUCUCGGCUAACUACGUGCCAGCAGCCGCGGUAACACGUAGGAGGCAAACGUUAUCCGGAUUUACUGGGCGUAAAGCGCGUGUAGGUGUUACUGUAAGUAGGGCGUGAAAGCUCCUGGCUCAACUGGGAACGGCCGUUCUAAACUACAGAACUAGAGGAUGGUAGAGGGAGGUGGAAUUCCAGGUGUAGCGGUGGAAUGCGCAGAUAUCUGGAGGAACACCGUUGGCGAAGGCGGCCUCCUGGACUGUUCCUGACACUCAGACGCGAAAGCUAGGGUAGCAAACGG